GGGGAUGUAGCUCAGCAGUAGAGCACUUGCCUGGCAUAUGCAAGGCUUUGGGUUCAAUCUCUAUCCCCA
rnacentral:tRNA from 1 species